AUGCUCCGCACACUGGAGAUGCUGGCCAGGGGCUCUCGCAUUCGAAAGCUGAGCGACCGGGCGCCCCGAAAGCUGUCCCUGGGCCUCAGCGAGCUGUCCGUGGUGGAGGCUCCGGAGUGGGCCUCGCUGACCUGGGCCAGGCAGUCCCUGGGCCCCUGCAGGCCCAGCCUAAGACACCCGCAGCACAGUCGCCACCCUUCCCUGGACUGGGCAACCCCUGCCCCCACGAGCUACCCUCUCCAGGACCCGGCUAUUCUCUUCGACUGCUCCAAGCCUGUCCGACACACAGACGCACCUGCAGCAUGCCCGUGCACAGAAGGGGAGACUGAGGCCUGGAGGGGCGGUUCCAGCUGUCUCCAGCGGGAGGAAUGUUCUCCAACAGUCGCUAAGACCAUCAGGAGAAAGGCUCAUGGGCAAGUUCGUGAUGGAUGA
rnacentral:lncRNA from 1 species